CAGGAGGCAUUUGCUCUCAGAUCCAGGGCUUGGAUCCAGGGCUUGGGGCACAAUUUAUGGGAUGACAGGCAGGGCGGUCUGAAGCAUGGAGAUGGAUGAUUGGAGUGAGUUACUUGGGAGAUUGAAGAAACAAGAAAAACAUUUAUUUUAAAGCUGAGCGUCACAGGUCGGGCUCCCUGCUUGGAAACUGAAUGAGGCCAGGUGUCCCUCUAUUUCUUGUUUGCUUGCAUUGAAGGAAACCGGUUGCCAUGCUAUGAGCUGCCCGAUGGAAAGGCCCACAUGGAAGGAACUGAAGUCUUCUGGCUCAAAGUCACUGAGGAACUGAGGCCCUCAGUGCAAAGGCCCUCAAGGUAUUGAGUUCUGCCAACAGUCAUACGAGUAAGACUGGAAGUGGAUCUUCCCGCAGUCAGGCCAUCAGGUGAGACCGCAUUCCUGGCUGACACUCUGACUGCAGCCAUGAGACACGUGGAGCCAGAGGCACCUGGCCAAACUGCAGCUGGAUUCCUGACCCACAGA